rnacentral:sRNA from 1 species
UCCCAGAAUACGAAAGGCAGCGUGCCUC